CCGGACGAACUUCCCAGCUCGGCCGACAUACACGGGUCGGUGGGAUCUUCGUCCGUU
rnacentral:precursor_RNA from 1 species